rnacentral:rRNA from 1 species
AUGAACGCUGGCGGCGUGCCUAAUACAUGCACGUCGCGCGCACAGACGAGGAGCUUGCUCCUCUGACGUUAGCGGCGGACGGGUGAGUAACACGUGGAUAACCUACCUAUAAGACUGGGAUAACUUCGGGAAACCGGAGCUAAUACCGGAUAAUAUAUUGAACCGCAUGGUUCAAUAGUGAAAGACGGUUUUGCUGUCACUUAUAGAUGGAUCCGCGCCGCAUUAGCUAGUUGGUAAGGUAACGGCUUACCAAGGCCACGAUGCGUAGCCGACCUGAGAGGGUGAUCGGCCACACUGGAACUGAGACACGGUCCAGACUCCUACGGGAGGCAGCAGUAGGGAAUCUUCCGCAAUGGGCGAAAGCCUGACGGAGCAACGCCGCGUGAGUGAUGAAGGUCUUCGGAUCGUAAAACUCUGUUAUUAGGGAAGAACAAAUGUGUAAGUAACUAUGCACGUCUUGACGGUACCUAAUCAGAAAGCCACGGCUAACUACGUG